GACGAACGCUGGCGGCGUGCCUAACACAUGCAAGUCGAACGGUAAGGACCUGCUUUUGUGGGGUGCUCGAGUGGCGAAAGGGUGAGUGAAACGUGAGUGACAUGCCCCUGACUUUGGGAUAACUUCGGGAAACUGGGGUUCAUACCGGAUAGGAGCUCCUGCUGCAUGAUGGGGGUUGGUGAGUUUCGGCGGUUGGGGACGGAAUCGCGGCUUAUCAGCUUGUUGGUGGGGGAGUGGCUUACCAAGGCGUUGACGGGUAGCCGGCCUGAGAGGGUGACCGGCCACAAUGGGACUGAGAUACGGCCCAGACUCCUACGGGAGGCAGCAGUGGGGAAUAUUGCACAAUGGGCGGAAGCCUGAUGCAGCAACUCCGCGUGCGGGAUGACGGCCUUCGGGGUGUAAACCGCUUGCGCCUGUGACGAAGCGUGAGUGACGGUAAUGGGUAAAGAAGCACCGGCUAACUACGUG
rnacentral:rRNA from 1 species